GACGAACGCUGGCGGCGUGCUUAACACAUGCAAGUCGAGCGGUAAGGCCCUUUCGGGGGUACACGAGCGGCGAACGGGUGAGUAACACGUGGGUGACCUGCCCUCAGCUCUGGGAUAAGCCUGGGAAACCGGGUCUAAUACCGGAUAUGACUCCAUGACGCAUGUUGUGGGGUGGAAAGCCUUGUGCGGCUGAGGAUGGGCCCGCGGCCUAUCAGCUUGUUGGUGGGGUGAUAGCCUACCAAGGCGACGACGGGUAGCCGGCCUGAGAGGGCGACCGGCCACACUGGGACUGAGACACGGCCCAGACUCCUACGGGAGGCAGCAGUGGGGAAUCUUGCGCAAUGGGCGAAAGCCUGACGCAGCGACGCCGCGUGAGGGAUGACGGCCUGG
rnacentral:rRNA from 1 species